CGCGCGGGUCGGCACGCCGCUGCCGCCGCGUCGCGCGUGCCCCAGCGCCGUGCAUGGCGACAGAGCGGGCCCCGCGGGGAAGCUCCGCAGCCGCAGCCGCCGCCGCGAAGAUACCUUUUUUGUCAAGACUCAGAGCUCCAGAGCACUGCCGUAGUCGGAGAGGAUAAAGAACUUUGUCGAAGGUCUGAUGCCCUUCAGAAGUACCAAAUUACGGCAAGUGGUGGGUCUUUGCCGUUCUCUUUCUUCCACAGCUCAGCUGUUGAGAGCAGAUGUUUACCUGAGAAAUCCCUGCCUGCCACAGGAAAAAGGGCAGGUCUUUGGUGGCUGAGAGAAGAACAGCAGUUUUGAAACCUUUUCCAUUGUGAUACGGCUAGUGUCUGCUGUGCCGCUGUUCAGCGCUCUGACUGCAACAUGAAAUGGCAAGCUUAGUGCAGCCUGCUUGGUUCUUGACAGCAUCUGCUAAGCUGGCAUCUAUUUUGCAACUGUUGGUGCUAUUCUUUGUCCGCACAGUACUGUAGCAAUAACUGUUGGUUUGUAUUUUGACAAAUCCUUCUUUAGUUGUGAAGGGGAUAGCUUGCUUUCUUCAAAAAUGUCUUCUAGCAUCACCGCCCUGGUUUUUCAAUCUUACGGUGUUUAAGAAAGCCAAGCAAUCUGACAGACUACUUUGCUGCUACUGCUGUACUUUUUGCUUUUGUUUCUACUUUCAAUAUUUAACUUGUGAUUUUAGCUGUAACUGUCAUAUGUAUUCUCUAGCAUUGAAGUGUUUUUCCCCUAGACAGUGUUUUCAAUAAAAAUGCCUUUUAAUAUAAAAAUACUUUUUUCUCUUUCAGUGGUGAGUCAGACUAUUUUUUCCACUUUGAAAUGUGAUUUUUUUAAUCUUUAUUAUCUCCUAAUUUCUUGUUAAUUCACUGGUAGUUGUUUUUACAUUAAACAUCCAAAACACUGGCGUCAGUGUAUGACACUGUUCUGCAUUUCUUUUGUCACCAAAAGCCACCAGGCAGAAUGAGACCAGUAACGAGCAAUCCUCAGAAACACUCUUACUUGGAGUUAAUUUGCUCCAUGCACACAAAAGGAGUAUUGGCAAUUCCUUUU
rnacentral:lncRNA from 1 species